ensembl:lncRNA
AUCGGAACGGCCCCUCAGACGAAUCGGAAUCUCCUGGGUGGAGUGGCUGCUGUUGCCAUGGCGCUCAGAUGUUGGCGUGGUUCCUCCACCCUCCAGGAGAGUCUCCGCCCCGUUGGGUCUGAGCGAAGGCGUCCACACAUAGAAGCACAACACAGGCAGCACAUGGAAACGCUAGAUUUCAUUGGCAGAACUAGAUUGAUCGGCUCCUUUUUAUAUCCUGUCUGUUUCUACCACACUUUGGCCUUGGGUGAAAUGUCUGGUGCAGAACUGCACGUGUCCUCCGCAGGGACGAGUGCAGCUUUAUCUUUUAACAUGGACAAUGUAAAGUAAGAGUCUGCUUCCUUUCUGUCCCUAACCUUUCUGCUUCGCUGUCAUCAGUCAUUUCCUGUUACAUUUGGGGCUUCGUUAGUCAACUGUGGGAUUGGGAAGCUUCGUUGGGCUUGAAUAUCAACGGGGCUGCUCUUCGCUCCUCAGGAGUUUCCCCUUCAACCCACUCUGACAUUUUACUAGAAUUUGUUGAUAUUUUUGUUGGGGGGACCCUCCCUCCCCAACGUCAUUAUAUCUUUUGGCAGUUAUCCUGAGAUCAGUAGUUUUCCUCUUGGACUUUUGUUUACCCUAUAAAGACUGUCAUCAUAGCUUGUUGGCUUUAUUUUAACAACCAUUAUUUCCUCAGUGACUUCCAUUUGUAUGGAAUAAAAAUGUAGGAUGGAUGGAAAAAUGGCAGAACUUGUCCGUGCUUCAGUCGGUGCUUAGUUCUGUUAACACUCCUCGUACGGCGCCGUUUGACUUCCUUUGGUCUUUGUUUUCUUUGGGCGAGUGAAGCAAACGGGAUGAGAACUGAGCGCUGCCCCGGCCUUCUGCUCUGACUCUUCCCUUGGCUCCUCACGUCAAGAAGGACUUUAAAAUCAAGAGCUUGUCCGGGGACGUGGGCCUGACUGGUCUGGGGGGCCGUCUGGGGGCACCUUGGGGGCCAGCAGAUGGUGGCGAGCCCUGGAAACCCUGGACCGAUGUAGGGAUGCCCUCAAACAUGGGCGGCAUCAUACAUGAGAGACAUCACAGUGGCACCGUCCGCUGCCCCCCCAUUCACCCAUUCACCCAUUCACCCACUCAUUCACUGCUGUAAGUUGGGGUCGUUUGUUUACUGACCGGUGUGAAGAUCGUCUCGGGGAUGUUGUGAGUAGGGCAUUUGAUGAUUCUUAUUUUUGUAAUGUGUAAGUGUGUGGCAUGUGUGUGUUUCCAGGUGUCUGUAAUAACGGGGGGGGGCAGGCGGUUCACAUGAAUGGCGAGCACCUUCUGCCUUGUUUGCCCACAUGGUUCAGCUAAUGUUCCCUAGCAAGACAGUUGUGUCGCUUCCAUGCAUCAGACAUAUAUACAUUCAAAUAUGUGUAUAUGCUCCUCGAACCUUUAACGUCUCAUGUAAACAGGAUCAGCAGGCAAGCGAAGCUGGAUGUCUUUCUCUGCCCCCCCACUGACUCCUAAGCAUGGACACGCACCCAUGGGUGUCGCUUGCCUUGUCUCUUACUGGUUUCAACCUUGUACACACAACACUGGCUCGGAGAGUGCUUCAUCUUUCCUUAACUCCUAAUGUUAAUGUGCGCAUUACUUCACGUACCCAUGUUAAAAAGAAACGUAGUGUAUUCCAGAAAAAAACUUAAAGAUUGUACUAUGUUUAAGGUACCUGGAGUGAUUCAAGCUGUUAUAACAAUUAUGGUUUUAUUAAUGGAACCAUAAUAUACACACAUGUAUGUAUAUUGGUAUGUAUCUAAGUUUUGUCUACCCCAACUUACAUUCCCACAAACAAAUGCCAUUUUAGUUCAAGGGAGCAAUGUACAAGCAGAGAAGUGUCUUAUUAUAAUAAAGUUAUACAGAGAAGGCAAAGUUAAAUAAACUACUUUUGAUUUAAUUCAACCUUUAUUUGUAUGUGUCUGAAUUAUUUUUUGGAGUAGGAAAAAGGUUUAGUUUAGUUACCAACUAAAGAGUUGGAUUAUAAUAAUUGAUGUUCAGGUUUGACCCAUGAUUUCCAGCCUUUCAGUUUACAAUAUACUGGGAAUACUACAUUUGUGUGUGUAUUGGAAUACUUUGUGUUGUCGUUUCAACAUCUCUUCAACAUCUCUUAAAUAUAAUUAUGUCACUUAAUCUUCCAAAACGCUUUGCGGGCCGCGAUUCUUGUACGUGCCGCCAGCAGAAGGCGGUAGAGAGCCGCGGAGGGUUACUGCGACUCACUGCCGCCAGCAGGGGGCGGUAGAGAGCCGCGGAGGGUUACUGCGACUCACUGCCGCCAGCAGGGGGCGGUAGUGAGCCGCGGAGGGUUACUGCG